UACUGGUUUUUUUUUUGUGGGACAAACGUGUGUGAAUAGUGAAUUCGUCAAAAAAAUAAUAAGUGACAAAUAGUGUGACUGAGAAAAAGGAAAAAAAAACUGUCGCGCUAAGAAAAAAUUUCAGAUCGAGCGUUAUAUUAAAAGUGUUAAGUGGCAAUUUGUUGGCCUUUCGGUUUUGCGUGUGAAUAAAGGCUAGAUAAAAAGUGCGUAAAAAGUCCACAUGUACGCGUUACCAGUGAUGGCAAUUUAGUGAAUGGGCCACCCACAAGUAAGCCUUGGACCACGGCAAAGGAAGAGCGCCAUCAGAAUUUGCGUAUGGUUCUCGCAUUUGGAUCAUCAUGGAACGAAAUAUUAUAUUUUAAUUAAAUUUUUAUUAAUAUUAAAGGAAUCAUCAACAUAUGUGACUUGAAUGCUGAAAAGGAGCAGUUUGCUGAAGCGCAGAAAAAACUGAAGUGACUACGACCAUCCCAUGUUGAAGCUAUCUGGGAUAUCGCCAACUGGAAGGAUAUCUAUAAUCCCCUCGUUGCCGCUGCUAAGAGAUGUUUGUGUCAUCCAAGCUUUAAUUGACCUAGAGAAAAAUGGGGAAAAUGGUAACGCACGAAUUGCAUCCCGGUAGGAAAGCUCGCGCGGUUACCGACCACAACAAACUGGUGUAUCCACUACAUGGCUUACUUCCAUAUGAACACACAAAUCCGCGAACAGACGCAGGCCUUAAAUCGUAGUUUUCGCGUAGUGAUUUUUUGCGUUACAUAUUCAAAAGUGUUUGUUACUAUAAUUCGGAUUAUGUUAUCGUUUUUCAAACAUUCUCCUUUAUGUACAAAAUAAUGUGGUUUACUUUCACAGUUUUCUCAUUAAGGUUGUGCAAUUUAUUAUGUUUUGUAGUUUUAGAAAACUGGGAUAAAACAUUUACAAAUUGUUGUAGUUGAAUUCCAAGAUAUAAUUAUAUGGGGCUAAUAUAUAUAAUAAUUUCACUUCUCCCUAAUAUGGUUUUUGUAUCAUUGAAAUAAAAUUUAUGUAUUGUAAAUAGCAUUGUAAUGUAAUAUUUGUAUAUUUUACACAAUAUUAAUGCUAAUGGAACAUCUGGGAACUAUGUUGUGGGUGCAUAAGUAUAAAGCGAAAUUCAAUAAACUGAAUAUAGUCAAUGAAAUUAAGAAAACCUAUUUUUGUUCAUUUCUUAGCAACUUUAGUUUUCUACAACAAA